GAAGCCGGCUCAUUCUACACUCUCUGCUGCUCCUGGAGGCUGUUUGCAAGUGCAAGAGCUUUCCCCCCCUUCAUACAGAGUAGAGACAGCUGACUUCCUUGGUGAGAGCUUUGAUUUCUGCAGCAUCCACCACACAUACAAACACAAGAAGCAAUGGCAGGGCUGACAGAAAGCAAAGUUUUGCUCCACAAUUUGCCACAUAAAACAAGAAAAGAAGCAGAAAACGAAGAUGAAAAAAAUGAGGUGAAAAAGCAAAGAACAUGACUACACUUUCCUCUACAAACAAAGUUUUCUGCCGUUUGAAGAAAGAUAGCUGCAUUUACAAAUCCAACAUAAACUGGCUAGUUCUGUCCUUUCUUCUCCUCAAAGCAUAUUAACGUUCCUUAUUUGGGCUACAGCUGCUGGGGAAAUAUGGGAGUUGUAGUCCCCAAAAGAAAUGUUUUUAAACUCUGCUUUUAUCAUACAAGUGCAUCCUUGUUCAUUAUUCCAUCUGUUCCACAGACUGAAAAGAAGAUCGCAUCUACUGGACCCACCUGUAUUGUAAAUAUGUCCGCUUUCUCUGCUAAGAUUCGAUCACUGGAUCUUCAUGCAUUUUUGGUGAAGAUUUGAAGAUGUGUCUACAGCUGUUGGAGUUGCUUCCAGGGUUUAUCCCUCACUCUUCUGCUGUGUCUGCUGGGUGCCUUUCAAGAAUCUCUUCUUUAGUUAAACUGUUUGACUUUUCCUGCAAGUAAAGACUGCAGGAUAUGUGUUUUCCAUACAAGCCCUCAGUUUGAUAGGUUGAGUAUCUCUUAUCUAAAGUGCUUGAGAUACGAAGUGCUUGUGAUUUUGGGAUACCUGUAUUUGCAUAUACAUAAUGAGAUAUCUUCGAGAUGAGACCCAAGUCUAAACACAACAUUCGUUUAUGUUUCACAUAUGCCUUAUACAUGUAAUCUGAAGGUAAUUUUAUAUACAAUAUUAAUUUUGUGCAUGAAACAAGGUUUGUGUACACCAAGUAUUCAGCCACUUAUUUGUACAAUUUUGGAUUUCAGAAUAUUUUGGAUUCUGGAAAUACAUCUUUUUAUUUGAAUCUACUUCUUUAGGAGCCUUUCUUGAAGCACUACAUCAUUUGAACGUCAUAUGAUAUUGAACUUACAAACCUUGGUUAUAAGAGAAAUGUCUUGUAUGAGUAUGUUUGUUUAUAAUACAUUAACCAUAUUCCUUUGGAUUCUGCUUCAUGAAUCAUUUGUCUGUCCCAUGUAAGGAAGGUUUUAUAUUAAGAAACCUGUAUUGUGAAUCAUUGUGUAGUAUACUUUGAACUUCGACAAGCUUUGUUUGUACAUUGAAUGCUCCAUGACUAUAGAAUACAUAUGAAAAACAUUCUUAUGAUUUAUAUUAUUAGAUUAUAUUAUUGUCUGCUGGAAUUUAAGACACAAUUCUAUUUAUUUAUUUAUUUCCUGCUUUAUUUCUCCAUAUGGAGACUCAGAGCAGAUCACAUUUAAAGACAUUACAAUACUUUAAAUGUACAAUGCAGAGAUAGUUAGUGAGAAGCUUUACAGCUGUUGGGAAGGAUAGCUGGUGAAGUGGAGAGACAGAUCCAGAAAAGGACUGUCUGUGAGGAGUUUAGGAUUACUGGGCAGAGAGGAAGUCUGUCAGUAAUUUCUGGAGGGAGAGAGGAGUGUUAUGUGCAACUAAGUUUUGAACUGCUUAAAGAAACUGUACACUUUAUUCAACAUUAAAACAGCUAAGCUUAAUGCCUGUUUUGUUCAAGUUCUCUCAAAUAAAUAACAUUGUUAUUUGUUCACAA